CUACAUCCUUCAAAAAAUUGGCUUAUUUGUUUCAUCUUUAAGUAGCAAUUUGCUGCCAUUUGUAUUGGGCCGAAGAAAUCACUAUUGUGUAUAUACUCAAGUCUUUUUAUUUUUUCCUCUUUUCAUAAAUGCUCUUGGACAUUAUUGGGCUUGCAGAGUUCCCUUAUUCUGGGAGUUACAGUGCUUUUAUCGUUUCAGGCUUCAUUUUAGCUUCAAAACAAGCUGAGCACACUGAUGUCGACUUGCUAGGUGGGGUUCGCUGGGGACGAUAACCAGUGGAAUUGUUGGUAAGAACUUUUUUUUUUCCUAUUUUUUUUUAAUCAGUAGUGGGGCAUUAAGUAUGGGAGAAUGCCCAUAUUCAUAAGUGGGCAUUUAUGUCAGCAUUGUAGAAAAAUAAGACUUUAGUAUUAGGUAAUUCUGUUCUAAUAGGAACAUAUAAUACGUACUUCAUACUCCUUAUUCUCAACUUUGUAGAUUAUCAGAAAAGGCCUGCCAGAAUGAGGUAAUGAAAUACUCAGGGUAUAUUUUACGUGGCCAAGAUAGACAUCUUGAAGAAACAGUAAAUUUGCUUUAUUUUAUGUUAUUUUAGUCCCCCUAAUCAAUAUCUUUAUAUUUACAUUUUAUUGGAUAGAUUAGCAUAUAAUGCGUCUUAGAUAUUUAUUGCACAUUAAUAUUAAGAAGAAAUAGGGUGGUGUUAAUAGAAUGGAAGGUUUAUACACUAAGAUAAAUUAUUUUUUAAAAUCCUCUGAGGAGUUUCCUUUGUGGCUCAAUAGUUAAUGAGCCCGACUAGGAUCCAUGAGGAUGCGGGUUUGAUCCCUGGCCUUGCUCAGUGGGUUAAGGAUCUGGCAUUGCCGUGAGCUGUGGUAUAGGUCACAGACUCAGCUCGGAUCCCACGUUGCUGUGGCUGUGGCGUGGGCCGACAGCUGCAGCUCUGAUUCGACCCCUAGCCUGGGAACCUCCAUAUGCCCCAGUGUAGCACUAAAAAGCAAAAAAAACCACAAUCCUCUAAAAGAGAUACUAACAUUGUAAAAUGAAACUUAAAAGUUUUAUCAGUUUGACAAACAGUAGUGGGCUCAAUUUAAAGAUACAUUUGAUAUGAUGACUUUGAGUCAAGAGGAAAUUACGUAGCUGAAACAGUAGAACCUUGAACAUAGCAGAAACACAGUUCUGUCAAAAACUUGUGUUUCUUCUAAAACCCAGGAUAGCUGAUGAGGCAGUAGAUUUUGGUAGAAUUAGAGUCAAUAUUUAGAUCAUUUUAAAGAUCAAAAUCUCAUACUUAGGGAAUUCCAUAAUGGUAGCAUAUAAACUGAGGAAAUUAAAUUUAAUAACUAGGCAUUUCUGACUGUAUCACAUAAAAAUAAUUGUAAUAUAACAUAAGCAUUAAUUAGAAGUAAUUAUGAGUUUUCAUGCCUAGAACCUCCCUAGUAUUUUAACGUCCUCUUUGUUGGUUGGGUGUAUCAGUCUAAGAAGAAGCUCCUAGGUUUUAAACAUGUGCUAGUCAGUGUCAUGAAGAUAAACCCUUAUCAUAAACUCGUUGUAGACUAGCUAUACAUCACUACAAUGAAAGUAUAUUUUAAGAAUUGUAGUGGUUUCAUCGUUGUGUUAAAGUACUUGUUUCUCUUCUGACACACUUUAUGCAUGUAUCAGUGAUAGAAAAGAAUGGAGUAUAGAACUAAGUAAGAUUGCACUUACUAGUGUCCUCUUUGGAAAGUCUAUUUAUAGAAAGCAGUAGGAACACUAAAAUGGUGCUGAGAAGUUCUUAAAAGUUAAGGAAAAUGCAGUACAAACUUGCUGGCUUUUAUACACUAACAAUAAAAUACAUUUAACGGGACCA
rnacentral:lncRNA from 1 species